rnacentral:miRNA from 1 species
CCAUCAUGAUGAUGAUGAUGAUGAUGAUGAUGAUGAUGAUGCACUCAAGCGUUGAGGGUUUCGAUUGGAUUUCAAUUUACGAGCACCAGAGCACCAUCAGCAUCGGCAUCGGCAUCGGCAGAAACU